rnacentral:rRNA from 1 species
UGCGUAGGCUGAAUUGUAAGUCAGUGGUGAAAUCUUGCAGCUUAACUGUAAAAUUGCCAUUGAUACUGCUAUUCUUGAGUAUAGUUGAGGUAGGCGGAAUGUGUAAUGUAGCGGUGAAAUGCUUAGAUAUUACACAGAACACCGAUUGCGUAGGCAGCUUACUAAACUAUAACUGACGCUGAGGCACGAAAGCGUGGGGAGCGAACA